UAUACUAAAUAUGAAAGAUAGAAAUAUUCUGAAAUUAUCUUCAAAAUUCCAGUUUGUUGGGCAAACAAAGCCAGUCGGGCAAUAUUCGCUCCACAGUCGGGCAAUAUUGGCUUGUGGGAAAUUCUGUCAAUUUUGUGAUCUCUUGAAAAAUUUGUAUGAUGUUCCGAAAAAUUUUGGUAUGUCCGGGGGGGUGGGGUGGGGAGGUCGCCAAAAUUAAUUUGUUCCGGAAAAAAAAUUUUCGGCACUGGUCGGGCACAAUCCGAAAAAGUCGGGCAAGUUUCUUUCCGCCCCCCUAAUUUUUUCCUUCCGGUACGCCCAUGUUGGUCUCGUUGGCCCGUUUGCACUAACCCCA